CAAAAUAUAUCUGAACUGUUUCCUUCUGUUAGAAUCAGAGUAACUUUAUUACAUUAAGUCUCAAAUCUUCAGAAUCUGCAACUUCUGACAAUAUCCAAUAAUUUAAGGUUUUACAACUAUUCACACAAAGGUCACUUCUGCACUGUGGACACAUUAAGCACUUUUACUCUUCUUAAAAUCAUCUCCAAAUUUACAAGGCAACUAUAAUAUAAGCAGCAGUAGUACAAUGUACAUGAACAGGGUCUCAACAUUUCUUCCUUCAUUGCCACUAGUUCAGUGUGUAGAUUGGCAUACUCUUCUGCAUUUUUCUACACAACUUACUUACAACCAUACAGAUAAUUAUAAUAAGGACUCUGGGCCUUCAAAACCAGUUCCAGCUAUACAAUGUACAUGUACAUGAAUUUUCUAAAGCUUUCUUGUUAGACAAUAGUGAAGAAAGCACUCAGCAUACACAUGUAAGAUUAUGAAGGAAAGCUUAGAAACUUUGGUCAAUCAUACAUGUGUUCCUUUUAUCAACAAGAUUGUGUUUCAUAUCCUUAGAAAGCGUUGCAUUUGCUUUUAAAACUGUCAAUUACAAAUUAAUAAAAUAAAUCAAUAUCAAUGAUUAUGAUGAAGGAGGUUAACUCCUUUGUUAUCGAACUUCACAUACAUUUUGUAAUGUUACUGGCCAUUUUUACAUG